UGACAGCUAAACCAAUACUUUCUGAAACAUGACAAAGACACAAUGUACGGGAUGCAGGAAAAAAACAGUUUCACUCAUUGUUAUAGAUAAGGAGACAAACAAAGAUGGGAAGAUUAUGACAAAAAAGAAUGGUUAAAUGUACCGUAUGCGGCCAAUUCAAGAAUCAAAUCUAAGACUGAAAAUGAUGUUUGAACUUAUUAUAACACUUCAAUAAUUGAUCCACGUUCCCCGAUGUUUACAUUACUUUAACAAUUUUAGCAUAAUUGGUUUAAUUGAUUGUUAAAUUAUUUCAAACUGUUUGAAUUAUGAAAUGUAUAUCCCUUAUGCUUACUUUUUUUAUUAUUAUUAUUCUUCAACAUGUGUCGUAUGUUUUAGAUUUUCCAAUAUUUUGGCCUCGAGUAACAAAGAAAAGACAUUCAUCCUCGAAAAACGAGUCUAGUCUAGUCUAUAAUUCCAAAACGUUAUCACUUAUGUAUUGCCAUACAAUGAUAAACACUGAUGGACUUUCAUCUGUCGAUGAUACAAUUUCAUGUCAUAAUGAGAAUGGUAAUUACCUCUUUACACCAAAUUAGUUGUCACUCGAUUUAAACUGGCUUUUUACAAUUGUGAGAUAUGUGCUCAAUGUUGGUUUUUUUUUUUUUUUUUUGUUUUUUUUUGUGUUGUUUCAGUCAGUGAUUUGUGUCGAUUUGAUGGAAAAG
rnacentral:lncRNA from 1 species